rnacentral:rRNA from 1 species
GACGAACGCUGGCGGCGUGCUUAACACAUGCAAGUCGAACGGAAAGGCCCUGCUUUUGUGGGGUGCUCGAGUGGCGAACGGGUGAUUAACACGUUAGUAACCUGCCCUUGACUUUGGGAUAACUUCAGGAAACUGGGGCUAAUACCGGAUAGGAGCUCCUGCUGCAUGGUGGGGGUUGGAAAGUUUCGGCGGUUGGGGAUGGACUCGCGGCUUAUCAGCUUGUUGGUGGGGUAGUGGCUUACCAAGGCUUUGACGGGUAGCCGGCCUGAGAGGGUGACCGGCCACAUUGGGACUGAGAUACGGCCCAGACUCCUACGGGAGGCAGCAGUGGGGAAUAUUGCACAAUGGGCGGAAGCCUGAUGCAGCAACGCCGCGUGCGGGAUGACGGCCUUCGGGUUGUAAACCGCUUUCGCCUGUGACGAAGCGUGAGUGACGGUAAUGGGUAAAGAAGCACCGGCUAACUACGUG